rnacentral:rRNA from 1 species
UACGUAGGGUGCAAGCGUUGUCCGGAAUUAUUGGGCGUAAAGAGCUUGUAGGCGGUUUGUCGCGUCUGCUGUGAAAUUUCGGGGCUCAACCCCGAACUUGCAGUGGGUACGGGCAGACUAGAGUGUGGUAGGGGAGACUGGAAUUCCCGGUGUAGCGGUGAAAUGCGCAGAUAUCAGGAGGAACACCGAUGGCGAAAGCAGGUCUCUGGGCCACUACUGACGCUGAGAAGCGAAAGCAUGGGGAGCGAACAGG